rnacentral:lncRNA from 1 species
CGAUAAUCUAAUUUUUAAUUUUCCUUGUGGUUUUCAUAAUAAAUAUAAGCAACAAUGGAAAAUGUUUGUAUAAUUUUUGUUGAUUUCUGGGUGAUGACAAUAAUGAAGACUAAUAAUAUUUCGCUCAGAAUUGAUUUUCGUUAGCAGUGGUGUGUCGUGUUGAAUUUCGAUUUCAUCACAUUAUUAUGGUAUAAGCUUUUUCUGCAGCUACUCAAUUGUAGGUAGGUACUGCUUAUAUACUUAUCCGUGUAAUUUUUCUCAUUUAUACUAUCUAAAUUUUUAUAUUAUUAUAUGUUAGUUGCUAUGGAUCGAUAAUUGUGCGUCGAAGAAUAAACUGUAAAAGAAAAAAAAAAAAAGAAAAGAUUUUCAACGUAUGUCCAUAAAAUCCUGGGAAGAUUCCCAAUGGGCCACGACUAUGUACACUUGUCCCCUAAUAUGUACCUGCUUUAACUGUUCGCCGUAUAUUGACGAAACCAUCUUGUUUAUCUGUAAGUAUAUACAUCCUUUAAUAACGGCUCUAUAUAUUGCCGUUCUUCGCUCUAUCUGUUAGCUUACCCCUAUUCCCUGCCAAAUUCCCCUACCUGAGACCCAACUAUACCUCAAUUAUUAUUACUAUUUAGCGAGUGAGUAUAUGCAGCUAGUACUAAAAUUGUACACCAUUAAUUUUGGACCUAAAUAAUUUUGAGUAUUAAAUACUUGUGGUGCAUAAUUUUGAUCAGUAAGACUUUUGAUAAUAUUAUCAUUCGCUCGAUCAAUAAUAAUAAAAUCAUUAAAAUAUAGUAACAAGCAUUUUAAUUAUUUUAUUUAAGGGUAAUUUAUUAUUUUUACAAAAAAAUAAGAUCAAUUGAAUUAUUAUAACAUGUAAACUGAAUAAGUAUAUAUUAUUAUAUAGUAUUAUAUUUUUUCUAUCUUUGUAAGAUAAAAUAAAACUAGUAAUACAAUAGUCAAAAACUUUAAAAUAAUCUAAACUUCACUGAUACUCGCCAUUGAUAUAGCUUAUAAAAUAAAUAUAAUAGUAUAUAAUAAGUACCAUACUUAUUCAGACUAUUCAGUUUACAUGUUAUAAUAAUUUUAUUGAUCUUUUUUUUUGUACAAGUAAUAAAUUAUCCUUAAAAUAAAAUAAGUAAAAUAGAUAUCACUAUAUUUUAAUGAUUGUAGUUCGUAAAAGGCCUAAAUUUUGUUAGUCUACAUGCAAUAAGCCUGAAAAACAGUAGGCCGUUUGAAAAAAUAAUAAGCAGUUCGCAAACGGGCCACCCCAUUGCAAAGAGCCUAGUCUUUUAGCAAAAAGACUAAAUUUCCAUAUGGCUUACGACGUAUAUACUGAAUUCAAAAUUGUUUAUUACAUAAUUUAUGUUUUUAAUUUCGUAUUACAUCGUAUUAGUAGAAUGUUGAGUACUUAAUCAUAUUAUUUUAUAAUGUACAACGUACCGAAACGUUCGCUGCUCUCAAUCUAAAAUCGUAUCUAAUUUUCGCAAGGGUCAUGACAAAAUUGUUAAAUAUGAAAAGUCAGAUAAAUACAACAUUUCUGAAAGAGAAUAUUAUAUAAAGGAGGUAAUUUUUUGAUUUUCCCAAUAAAUUAGAAAAAUCAGGAAAAACAUGGGAAAACCGAGAGAACGUUUUUUCGUUAGCAAUCGUUGCUUACAGAUAUACAGUAAAUUCCCGUCUAUAUCCUACCUUCCCAACUUUAUCGUCCAUAUUAUCUUAGGACAGCUUAUUUUAUACUAAAAUUCGAGAUUUUUAUUAGUAGUUGUUUUUUGGAAAGAUUGAAGUGAUGACAGUUGGGUUGAAUUUCAAUAUGAAUACAACCGUGUUUUUGCGGGUAAAUACUGUAAUUUUUUUAGUUUUGUAUACUCCAACAAAUUCUCCAUAUGAGACUAGGAGAAUGCAAUUUUGCACAUAGGUAAAUGGUGUUAAUAUUAAUGAUAUGCCUUUUAGAUGUUUCAUAAUUCAAUCCUCACUACUACCAUUUUUAUGAUCAAAUUACACAUUUUUGGAAGCAGUAUAGUUAUAGUAUAAUUAUAGUACCUAUUAUAUUAAUUUUACUUUAUAGUGACGGAGCUCUGUUGCUCACAGAUUUUUUUUACAUUAUAUCAGUUUUAGCCAAAGAAACCAAAAAAUAAAUAAAAAUAAUAUCAAUGUAUUAUUUAAUGAAAGUUUUUUAAAUUGUGUAGAAAAAUUGUUGGGAAACUAAAAAUUGUUUUCAAGUAAAUUACUACCGGGCGAAAAAUCCGCAUCUAAGGUACGAUUUAAAGUAUUUUUACUAAUCGAAAACCACAUCUUAGUAAAAUCUAAUAACUUAAAAUUUGUGUGAUUUUAUGACAAUAGUGGUGUGAAAUGAUUUUAUUGUUUUUAUUUUAUUGCUUUUAUUGCGAGGUGAAUGCCAUAGGUGUUAUGACGUCGUUUGCUAAAGAAUGUGUGAGGGAGAUGUCCGAUUUACAAAUUUCCAAUGGAGAACGAAAUCUCGUUAUUCCCUCCAUAUACACGACGCAAUUAAAAUACAAAAUAUAAUCGCCAACGCGUUAAUAACAAUAUAAUUAAUGAUAAAAUCAACGCGGCAUCGACCCGUGAUUAUUUGAAUUCCACAAAGCGGCGCGCGCUUGACUCUCGGUCACGAUGACGGUGAGCGGCCGGCGCGGCGGCGAGGAGACUUGAGGUCGCGGACGGACAGAGCGCGUGGCGUGGCGGGGGCCCAUAUUGAUCUGACGGCGCGCAUUUCUGACUGCGACCGCCGACGAUUUUGCGAUAUCCGCCGAACGGACUCGUGCGCGUGUACGCGAGCCCACUGUGUCUAUAAACACGUAUGCGUGCGUGUGUGUGUGUGUUUAGGAGUGUAGGUGAGCGUGGGCAAGCGCGCGCGGGUCCGUUUUCCCGUACGGCGCGUAUCAAACAGGUGCGCGUUGCUAAACCCGCGAAAGUUGCGUCAUUUCGUUGUCGUUAUCGCGAGGUCCGAGGCAGGCCUUGUUCUAACGGGCAGUAGAACCCAAAUUAGACAGUAGAAAAUAUCAAAAGUGCAGUUGGUUUCGUGAAUGUGGGUACUUUACAAAAAAUAUAAUUUUCCUGAUCGUCGAGUGAUUGAAUUCCUAUACUCGGUAUUGCGUAACUUAAAAACCUACCUUUUACCUAAAGCUGGUUACACUCCACGUAAUUCGUACUUCACGCUUUUCCUGAGUUAAUUCGUUAUUUUUUUGCUGUAUUUUUUUUUUCAAUUUCAUUUUCUUCUUAAGAUUUGUUUUUUUUUUUAGGGUGGAGGGUGUGUACUAAAGUUCACGUGAAUUUCAUAAAAAAAAAACUUUUCGGUGUAUUUUGGACAGUAUAUAAAAAUCCUUAGAAUAAGCUCGGGUCCGAGAGGCUCAAACUCGUAUCCCAUCCUCUUCCAGAGAUCUGUUAAUGUUUUUGUUAUGAAUAUUAGAGUCCAGUCGUUGUGUGUAGUUCUAAGAAACGUUAUGGAAACUUAUUUAUAACUAAUUAAGCAAAAAAUCACUUAAAAUGUAAAAAUAUAUAUAAUAACGUGUCCCAUGAAGAUCAAUUGCAAUAUCUCAGAAAGUAUUAAUUUUGUACGGAUUUUUUUUUUUUGAGAAUUUAAGAAACAAACAAACAGCUCUGAAAUGUUACAUUGCCAUUAUUUCUUGUCGCUCUUAUUUUUGAAAAUGAAACAACUAUCUACUUUUGAUUUUCAAAAGACAACCUAUAUAAAAAAUUCCAUAAACAAAUGAAAUGUUAGUUUAAAACAUUUUGGUACUGACAUUUUUUUUAUUUCCGUCAAGUCGUUUACCAGAUAUUCCACCUUAUUUAUAUAGAGUUAUUCGUAUGGUUCAAGUAAUAAUCAAUAUUAGAUAUUCCUGCUUUAAAUUUGGAUAGAGAAAGUGUAGUGGAGUUAGACGCCGCGCCGGCACAAAUGGUGCACAAUAUAUAUUACUGUUUAAUUUCAAAAAUCAAAGACACAUAUUCAGUACCUAUAGCAUCUCUGUACAAAAAAAAAAAACAAUAAUAAUAAUAGAUACAAUAAAUGCAAUUGAAAAAGGUUAACCUAACCUAACUUACUAGGUUAAUACCUAGUGUUAUAGCUGAUACAUAUUCGAUCAAAUAGAAAAAUAAAGCCAACGCUUAUACCACUUCAGAACUUGAAUUAGCAUUAUUAUGAUCGUGUGAAUCACAUUGUCGUUCAAUCAUAAAGGCGGGGGAGGACAUGUUUUGUGUCGACGAGUGAUUUUCGUGAUAUUUCCGUCAAAAUAACACGGCAAAACAAACGACGUAUUACCUCCUAUACCGCGCGCGUUCUCCCUUCCCGGUCCGUGUAUAUUAUAAUGCCUUUGGAAACUAUUCAAAAGCUCCGUGUGCGUUGCAAUAUUAUAUUGUGUACCAUAUGUGUAAUUACGGUUUAUACACCCCGUGUACAAUAUUAUAUUAUAUAAUGCGCGGUAAUGGCGAACGGUUUAGAGUCAGAACUUUAGACAGUAGUGAUGAGGAUCGGACGGUACACAAAUGGUCAAAAUAGAUAUAAAGCGACAAACCGCUGUGCUGUUGUGCUUUGAAUUAGACUGUUAUUUUUUUAAAAAAUUUCCCUUUACUUUUAUUAAUAAUAGGGGAAAACGGGAAUAUUUACAGAACAAUGGUUUCUGUAAAAACCGAUUUUGUUAUUUUGAUUUUAUUAUUCUUAGCGUCCUAAUAUUUCUUCAGAAGUAGUACUCUGCAGACGUGGUUCAAUUUCAAAAAUAUUUCGGCGCUUUUAAAAUUAUUUUUAGCUAUUUGAAAAAUUAGAAUAUUUUUAGCUUUCUGUGGACACAAUUUUUUGGCUUCUCAAAAUUGGUCGAAUAUUUAAUACCAGGUUCAUUAUUGAGUUGUACUUUGUGAUAAUAAAAAAAGUUAGCCUAAAAACUUUUUUUAAUGAGCGUUUUAAGUUCAAAUUUAUGACAAUUAAAUUCGUUUUGAACAUUUUCAAUAUAUGUUAAGUUAAAAAUUAAUAACAUUGUCAAUUUAAAUUUAUCCAAAAAUAUUUAACAGAACUCCCUCGAAUAGUUUGCAAUCAUUUUUCAUUGGAUACGGUGUUACUGUUACUUUAUUAAUCAACUAAAUUACCCUUCACAUAAUUCUACGUUUUUCUAACUUACCUGAAAUAGUAGCAUUGUAACUUAUCCAUGAGCAUUGAGCAGUAUCUUUUUAAUGAUCCAACGUAAAUAGUAAUUGUAUGUAUAUAUAUAUAUACAAUUUGUUUUGCUAAUUCAAAAUGAUGCCAACAUUUUACUAAUACUCUUCAAUUUUUUUUUUAAUUCGGUUUAGGUUAGUAGGCCAGACCCCUGGGUCCUCGGAUGCAACCUAGGUACCUACUGCCUGUGUAAAUAAAUGUGUAUGCAAAUUAUAUCGCCCCCUACCUAUUAGAUUAGUUUAGAUGUAUACUAAAAUGCAUCAUUGCAAUGAUUGCUUAUUAUAACUGUAUAAAUAUCAAGUGUGUGAUUUAUUACCUCGUUGUCGUUUAUAGUCGCAGUCACUAAUACGCAAUAAUUGAAUACGCAGUAUUUGUAUUCGAGUAUAUAUAUUAGGUACAUUUCAAUAUGUUUUAAGAUUAAACUCAUCAUUACAUAAUACAUUAUUUUAAUUUGCACGUGUAUAUAAUUAAUUCAUAUUUAAUUCCUGCCAAACAUAUUAAUCCACUUAUCGUUUAUAAGUUUAUCUUAAUACAUGUUAAUACCAGAGUUAAAGUUAACAAAAACUUUGAAUUAACUCUAAUGUUAGGAAAUGAGUACUAAAAAGUUAUCAAACCGGUUAAAUCCGGUUUUGAUAUUAACUGGCUAUGUUAGAAAAUUUACAUGAAUGUAAAGUUUACUUUAUAAAAUGAAAAAACCAGAAUAUUUUAAGCUUAAGGUUUAAAUUUAAGCUUUAACAUUUUAAAAUAAAGUAAACUAAUAUUUAGUUUAUAUAUAGUAUUGUUUUUAUUUUAAACAAAUUAUUUUAAUAAUAACAAAAUAAACCGGUUUUAUUAAUUUGAAAAAUGAUUUUGAAUAAGCAUAAAGUAUAUGAUAAAUAUUAACCGGUUUUUUAACUCGAAAAAAUAAAAAAAUAACUAAAUUCAUUAACCUAAAAAAUAAUUUCGAUUUUAAGUCCCGAUUUAAAAGUGCUUUUAUAAUAUGUACGUUUAACUAAACACAAAUUAAGUUAAUGUAAACAGUGACUUCAUGUAAACAAUAUGUAAUUUCUGUAUUAUUACUCCUAGGGGUUAUCUCUAAUAUUAGAUAAAGUCAAUCCGCCCCUGAUUUCAAACAUGGCUCGCCGGAAAUAAAACGUCCAAAAUUGAUGUUAUUACAUAGGUAUUAUUAUUUUAAUUAAGUACCACAUUAUGUUCAUUAUAACUCAUCAUCACUGUGAAAAAAUUUUCCUUAAGGGUUUGAGACAAAUUAUUUCGGUUUUCUGGGUUUUCAUAAUAGUGGUUUUGAUUGCACAGCGGCUGAUAUUUUGAUUUUGAUUUAUAAACUUCACAUACCUAACGUUUGUCCAUUUCAAAAGUCAUACAAUUUUUUUUCAUUUUAUUACAUAACUAAGAAUUACCAUAAUACAAACGCUAGAUAAAUAUGUUUACCCUAUGAAUUAUGUUUUUUUAUAGGAUCUAUUUGUGUUCAAGUAUUUUUAAAAUUUUGUUUUUUUCUUAAAAUAACUAGUAACAACGUAAAAACUAAAUUCGUUUCAAUUUCCGAUGAUUCUCAUUUCUUACAGUAUUUUUCGUUUAACAAUAUCCGGACGCUAUUUCAGUCCACCUUGCGACUUUUAAAAACUUUUAAACAUUUAUACUUGCACUAGUAAAAAAAGAACGAAGAAAAUUAUUAUUUCCGUACAGACAAAAUCAAUAAUAAUUAUAAUGGUCAAUAACACAUUUAAAAAAAACGAAACAAUCCCAAUACUAGUUUAUGUUCAUGUAUCAACCCACACUCAUAAAUCACGUAUUUUCUUCUUCGUUUUUACCAUCCCACGCCAGUAGGUAUGACGCAGUAUAUAUAUAUAUAUCCCUAUAUAAGUUUUCUAGAAAAAUGUAUUGUUCUAUUAAUAAUUGGCUUUGUAUACAAUGCAUACAAUCUAAAAAUAAAAAUAAAACGCACACAUAAAAAGUAUUGUUUUCUUAAACCGCUACAAUAUGUAUUUAAAUAUAAAUAAAUUAUGUACAUUUCACCAGCUACUAGCCAUUCAAAAAGUUCAAUUUUUUUUGUGCUAAUAUUUAGCGUGUAGCAUACGUUUGCGUGACUAUCGCCGUAAUUGCAUGUCUUUAGUUAGAUCUAUACGUUUUACAAAAAAUUUAAUUAAAUUUAAUAAAGUUAAAUAAUCUACAAAUAAAACCAAAAAUAAUAAGUUUAAAAUAACCUUAAGAUUUAAAUAAGUUUAGAAAGUAAUGUUGUUAAACAAAUUAUAAAUACAAUAAUUUAAUUAUUUAAAUUCGAUAAAAUAAACCCAAAAUUGAAUAUGACAUAAAACAUGUAUUCAUUUUGACAGUUAGACAUGUUUAUUCGAUUUUAAAAUUAAUGCAAAAUAAAUAAAUAGGUACUCGAAAUUUAAAGCUAUAUAUAUGUAUAUAUAUAUAAUCUCUUUACGAUGUCAUAUAAUUAUAUAUUACUAAAAUAAUUAAUUUAAUCUUGUAAACAAUCGAAUCAAACUAAAAGUGAACGAAUACAACAUUCAAACACACUAAAAGUUGUAAAGUUAUAACAUUCAUAAGUCAACUUAUUGCGCUACUACCUCUCAUACUCCGAAUAUGCAUGACGCAUCUCUUGAUCAGCUUAUCAACUAUAACAUGGUCUAUUUGGUUCUUUAUUUAUCCUGAUUGUGAAACCCAGAUUAGCUUAUGCAUACCUUUAUGCGGAAAUGUAGUGCUACUUACUUAUAUACUUCUAAUCAUAAAAAAAUUAACUAAUUUUGUACCAUUAUCGUUUGAGACUCUAUGUAGCCUCCUCCCCAAUUGUUGUUCUGUAUAUUAUUUCCUACCCUAUUUUCGCAUUACAAUUAGUCAGUAAGAUUUUCAUUUUAUUAGUCGGUACCAAAUCACACAUAUUAUCUAAAUCUUCGUAAAAUAUAUCUUUGACCUCCUCUUCUUUGUCUUUAGUUAGAGUAUACUCGUUAGUUAUUAUCACGUUAAACCAUCGGAAUUUCAGUUUAAUAUAGUAAAUUCUGUCAUUUACUGCCUUAAUCUUUUUAACUCUAGGUAAUAUCUUGUCAUUUAAAUUGAAACUAACACCUUACUAAUGUCCAGUACCAAACUAUGGAAUACCGCCCGAUUUUCAAUUUUUAAGCUUCCUUCUCCUGGCCACCUCACUUUUUGAAUCGUAAUAAUGUCCAAUCAAUGUCGUUCAAGUUCCAAUAUCGAUGUAGUCAAAUUCCAAACCUACAUAACGUUUGCCUUAUAAUUAUUUUCUGAAAUAUCGUCGAAAUUGUCUACUCGUGCCCGUUUUUUAAUGCAGUUAAUUUUAAUUAAAAGUUAAUUUGAUUAAAAGUUUUUAAACUUUCUUACUGACCGUCUAAUUAGUAUUAUUUUCGCAGUUAAUAUUAACUUAAAAAUUUUGGAUUCCAUUACAUAAACUUAUCUUAAUUAAUUAGGUAAACUUAUCUUUUCGUACAAUUAAUUUUCAUAAACAUCCAGUUGAUUUAUACCUAAAUUUAAAGAUUUUGUUUUUUUUCAACAUACUAAUUUAUAAUACAAUUUUAUUGGUUCUACCACAAUACAUGCAUUAUAGCUUUAAUAGUCAGAUAAUGAUCAUAAUAUUAUAUCGAAGAGACUUUGGUACUAAUGUGCAUUGAUAAUUAGUGUCACAUCAACGGAAGAAAAUAAUCUAAUCGAUAUAAAAUUGAAUACAUAUUAUGAUACUGUAUAUUGAAUAUAAUCGCAGGUCGACUAUUUCAAUAUACUUUCAUAAAUAAUACAUGCUGCAUAAAAAAAAAAUAUGCAUUAAAUAUUAUAUUAACUAGACUUGCAAUUUUGUUUUUCUAUUAGGUAUAUUUUUUAUGGUAUAUUCUCAUGUGAAAAGCCAUUUUGUUAUAAAAUUCCCUGCCUCUAGCAUAAAAUUAUCAUCAAAAAGGUAUCUACAUUCGUUAAAUAGCAUAUAUAAUAUUAUAUAGGUAUGAGUAGGUUCAUAAUAUAGGUCCCUAUGGGUCAUUUUUGUUUAAUAUAUUCUAAUAUAUGUUAAUAUUCUAACCUCUAAACAUAUAAGUAAAGUUUAUUUUGUAAUUUGUUUACAAUUAUAAUAUGCUUUGAAUGUUGAUGAUUAUUCUUAGGAGUUAUUGGUAUUAUAUUCUGAGCGCAGUAAUGACUUUUUUAUGAUGUCAGUUUAGAUUCUGUGAAUAGCAAGACAUGUUUUAUUAUGAUGUAUUUUUUUUGUCUGUAAACAACUUUUCUAACAGAAACCUGACAUUUUCACAGAGUAUAUAUAUUUGCAUUUUUUAGACGUGGUCAAAUUUUAAAAAAAUUCUGGUCAUUUUUAACUUCACACCUUAUACAACAGUGACACAUGUUUAUAAUUUUUUAGAGCAACCUUAAUAAUGCUUGAAAAUUUAUUACGAGGUUUAUCAUAAGUGACAUAAGUUGUAUAGUAUAUAUAUAUAUAUAGUUUUGUAUAUAUAGUGGUAAAAAAAAUUAAACAGUAAUAGCAUGUUGCAGUUAGCACUAAGUAGUUAAAAUUUUUGGCUAAAAUCGCGGUGUUUCAAAACCUACCUAAGAAUCAUCAUAUAUUUGACAAAAAUCACCAAAGUGAUAACAGAGGUUUAAAAUCGGUUUUCAUAAUUGCAAAAAAAAAAAAAAUGAGACUUAAAAAAAAUUAGCGUCUCUUACAAUUAUUGGAAUCAUCUUAAACCGUGGGAUAUAGGUUUCUUUUUAAACAUUGAAUAGUAAUUUAUAAUUUAUAAAAAAAUAAAUAACCAUUAAUAUUUUUGGAUAAGUUAUAGUUAUAUAUUUAUAAAUGCAUUUUGGAUGCACCUAGAGACCCAAGCCGUCGCUCUCUCUGACUAUUUUAAUCAGAAAAUACUCCUAAAUUUGUUGUGCAAACUUUUGUACCAGAAAUCUUGUUACGAUUUAUCAAGUAUAGCACUUUUUCUGAAAGGAAAUGUUGUCUACAUGAUACUUUAGGGAGAUCAUUUUUUGAUUUUCCAAGCGGUUUUCAUGAUAAUUGGGAAAAACCGGGAUAAAAUGUCGGAAAACUGGAAAAUUUAUGAAAAUAAUAAUUUUAUAAUUCAGAGUGACUUGAAAUUAAGACAGAAAACCUAUGUUUGUCUUUUCUAGAUAAAACUGUAAAACCAUUUGAGCCAUAUUUGAGCACUUUAAAGACAUUUAAAUUUUGUGAGUAAUCUUUAUUUGGUAGGUACUCUAUAGAUAAAAUGUUUAGACUAAACAGAAAUGCUUGAAAAUUAAACAGGAGGAUAAUAAUAAGUCGUACUUUGUGGUCAAAAUAAAAAAAAGUUGAAUUUAAUAUAAUGUAUUUUUUUUUUUUUAUAAGAAUUUCAAUACCAAAAACGACAAAAUUGUUUUAGUAAAAAAUGAUGUGGAACAAAUUUAGUUACUGGCCCUUACAAAUUGUUUUUAUAGGUAUAUAUUUUAUUGUAAUUUACAUUAUUGUAACAAACAUAAUAUGAAAUUUGUUGAAAAAACAAUACUAUUAACCGAGCUCCUAUCAGAAUCGUUUUUCGUUAGCAAUGACUAAUCUUUGUUUACAGAUAUACAUUAAAUUCCCCUCUAUAUCUAUAUCUUAUCUACAACAGUUGUCCACUCAUAGUGCGAAGUGUGUCCGUCUUUUUCAAUUUAAUUUUUGUGUUCUAAUGUUAUAUUAAAUAGGCAAAUUUUAAAAUGUAUACCUAAUUAUUCAAAGUUAAAAAAAAAAUAUAAUUGAUAUCGUUAUAGAUAUUCACUGUAAACGAAUUUGAUAAUUGUUUUACAGGUGUUGUUUUGGGCAGUGAGAAGCAAUAUUUAGAAAAUAGCCAGUUAAUUGUAAAAUUAAUUGCUAGAUGACGUACAUUCACAAAGCUAUUCGUUGUUUACUAUGACUAAAAGUGAAGUACACUUUGAGCCUUACAAAUGAGCUAUGCAAGUAUUCAAGAAUAUGAAUAGAUUUAAUUUCCCAAUGAAAAUGUAUAUUGUUUCCGCAUGCACUAAAAUUGAAAAUCUUGG